AUUAACAAUCAGCUGUUAAACUUGCUUGUGCUCUUCGUUUUGUAUUUUUUCUAAUGAUCAAAAUUCGUUGAUUGCUAUUUUAUCAAUGAACAUAGCAAAUUUACAGCGUGGACAACAAUCAGUAGCACUACAGCUACAAUUCAAUUUGUAUUCAAUUAAGAAUUAAUGUUGUAAAAUAAGAUUUCAAUUUAAAUUAGCGCUUUAAUUGAGCAAAGGCCGGUUAAUUCUUCAAUUUAUACCUGUGCGCAAAGACGGUAAUCAACCAUACCAGCGUACAAAAAAAAGAGUAAUUGAAGGAAAAUAUGUCGGACAGCCCAGACAGGAAUACUAGGCGACUGGAGUUUUCUAACACCGAUAAAAAAUCCGGCUCGAAAUAUGGUGAAACUGAGAAUAUGGUACUUACCGAAGAAGUUAUUUCCUCACGAGAUGCAAUAAGUUCAGUCUGUGGAAGAAGCUAUAGUGCGAAAGCUGCAGUUACAACAAAAUUAAAAUAGACUCAGAAAAGAAAUAAUGUUUUAGAAUAAGUUGAGUUUUUCUCAACAAGAAAUAAAUUAAAAUAAAGUUAAAACUGAAUAUAACGGUCGCAA